CCUACGGGUGGCAGCAGUGAGGAAUAUUGCGCAAUGGGCGUAAGCCUGACCCAGCCAAGUCGCGUGAGGGAUGAAGGUUCUCUGGAUCGUAAACCUCUUUUAUAAGGGAAUACGGUGUGUGACGUGUCCUGUUUUGUAUGUACCUUAUGAAUAAGGAUCGCCUAACUCCGUGCCGGCAGCCGCGGUAAUACGGCGGAUCCGAGCGUUAUCCGGAUUUAUUGGGUUUAAAGGAUGCGUAGGCGGUCUUUUAAGUCAGCGGUGAAAGUCUGUGGCUCAACCAUAGAAUUGCCGUUGAAACUGGGAGGCUGGAGUAUGUGUGAGGAAGGCGGAAUGCGUGGUGUAGCGGUGAAAUGCGUAGAUAUCACGCAGAACCCCGAUGGCGAAGGCAGCCUGCCAAGACAUGACCGACGCUGAUGAACGAAAGCGUGGGGAUCAAACAGGAUUAGAUACCCUAGUAGUC
rnacentral:rRNA from 1 species